GGAUUAGAUACCCUGGUAGUCUACACCGUAAACGAUGUGUGCUCGGUGUGUGCCCGUAAAAAGGGACGCGCCCAAGCUAACGCGUUAAGCACACCGCCUGGGGAGUACGGCCGCAAGGCUAAAACUCAAAGGAAUUGACGGGGGCCCGCACAAGCAGCGGAGCGUGUGGUUUAAUUCGAUCAACGCGAAGAACCUUACCUGGGCUUGACAUGACAGUAGUAGGGAACCGAAAGGGGACCGACCUUCGGGAGCUGUCACAGGUGCUGCAUGGCUGUCGUCAGCUCGUGCCG
rnacentral:rRNA from 1 species